UCCUACGGGACGCAGCAGUAGGGAAUCUUCCACAAUGGGCGAAAGCCUGAUGGAGCAACGCCGCGUGGGUGAAGAAGGUCUUCGGAUCGUAAAACCCUGUUGUUAGAGAAGAAAGUGCGUGAGAGUAACUGUUCACGUUUCGACGGUAUCUUACGGGGAAGCCACGGCUAACUACGUGCCAGCAGCCGCGGUAAUACGUAGGUGGCAAGCGUUAUCCGGAAUGAUUGGGCGUAAAGGGUGCGCAGGCGGAACCAUAAGUCUGAAGUAAAAGCCAUCGGCUCAACCGAUGUAAGCUUUGGAAACUG
rnacentral:rRNA from 1 species